CCUACGGGACGCAGCAGUGAGGAAUAUUGGUCAAUGGGCGGAAGCCUGAACCAGCCAAGUCGCGUGAGGGAGUAAGGCCCUACGGGUCGUAAACCUCUUUUGCCGGGGAGCAGUGCCCAGCUCGUGAGCUAGGAGGGAGCGUACCCGGAGAAAAAGCAUCGGCUAACUCCGUGCCAGCAGCCGCGGUAAUACGGAGGAUGCGAGCGUUAUCCGGAUUUAUUGGGUUUAAAGGGAGCGUAGGUGGAUUGUUAAGUCAGUUGUGAAAGUUUGCGGCUCAACCGUAAAAUUGCAGUUGAAACUGGCAG
rnacentral:rRNA from 1 species